CCUACGGGGGACAGCAGUGGGGAAUAUUGCACAAUGGGGGAAACCCUGAUGCAGCAACGCCGCGUGAGCGAUGAAGGCCUUCGGGUCGUAAAGCUCUGUCCUAAGGGAAGAAUACUGACGGUACCUUAGGAGGAAGCCCCGGCUAACUACGUGCCAGCAGCCGCGGUAAUACGUAGGGGGCUAGCGUUAUCCGGAAUUACUGUGCGUAACGGGUGAGUAGGCGGCCCUUCAAGUCAGAGGUGAAAGGCUACGGCGCAACCGUAGUAAGCCAUUGAAACUGUAGGGUUUGAGUGCAGGAGAGGAGGGUGGAAUACCCAGUGUAGCGGUGAAAUGCGUAGAUAGUGGUAGGAACGCCAGUUGCGAAGGCGGCUCUCUGGACUGUAACUCACGCUGAGGCACGAAAGCGUGGGGAGCGAACAGGAUUAGAUACCCUUGUAGUG
rnacentral:rRNA from 1 species